AUGAGUCAUGCUUUGUUGCAGAAUUCACACAGACUUACCCAUGUGGGCAUUCUGUGAAUUAUAACAAGAUCUAAAAGCCAAUUCAGUUCGGAUAAUGAUACUUACCGGUUCUGCCAGCUUCUCCAGUGCUUCUCGAAGAAUGAAGUAAUUUCUUUCCACUGAGAAGAAUCAACACUAUUAUGAGAGAAAAUCCACCAAGGAAAGAAUCUCCUGGGAUGCUGAAAGGAUGGGAAUCUGAUCCACAACAGGAAGAUAAUACUGUAUAUGUCAACCACAUCAAGAACUCUGAUAUGUAUCCUAGAAUUUUGGCAAUAUUUCCUAUCAAAUCCUAACCAUUGCAAUCUGAAAACAUUUUGAAACAGUUUUGGUAUUAUUUCCAUGGGGGAAAUGAGCAAGUCUGUUACAUGAAAAACAGCAUAGUUUUUAGACACUUUGAAGACUAACAGGCUUUAUUUGGCACAAGCUUCCCCAAACUGUAGACUGCUUCUUCAAAUGCAGUGGCCAGAAUUCUACUUGCAAUUUCUAUGUAUGUCACAGUGUCAAAUCGCUCCUCAUUAACAAGGUGAUUUGUUGCAUUCCCAGUCAUGUGCUAAUUUCCCACAAUGACACACAAGCAGGAAUAUGACUGGCAUCUUAUCCAUUUUACACUUGUAAAAGUAAUUUCACUUUUACAAGUGUAAAUUACCAAUAGGAUUG